UACAGAGGUCUCAAGCGUUGUUCGGAUUCAUUGGGCGUAAAGGGUGUGUAGGUGGCGCCGUAAGUCGGGUGUGAAAUUUCGGAGCUUAACUCCGAAACUGCAUUCGAUACUGCGGUGCUUGAGGACUGGAGAGGAGACUGGAAUUCAUGGUGUAGCAGUGAAAUGCGUAGAGAUCGAGAGGAACACCAGUGGCGAAGGCGAGUCUCUGGACAUUUCCUAACGCUGAGGCACGAAAGCCAGGGGAGCAAACGGG
rnacentral:rRNA from 1 species